AGAGUUUGAUCAUGGCUCAGGACGAACGCUGGCGGCGUGCUUAACACAUGCAAGUCGAGCGGAAAGGCUCCUUCGGGGGUACUCGAGCGGCGAACGGGUGAGUAACACGUGAGUAAUCUGCCCUUCACUUCGGGAUAGCUACCGGAAACGGUGAUUAAUACCGGAUAUGACCACUUCUCGCAUGGGAUGGUGGUGGAAAGUUUUUUCGGUGGGGGAUGUGCUCGCGGCCUAUCAGCUUGUUGGUGGGGUAAUGGCCUACCAAGGCUUCGACGGGUAGCCGGCCUGAGAGGGUGACCGGUCACACUGGGACUGAGACACGGCCCAGACUCCUACGGGAGGCAGCAGUGGGGAAUAUUGGACAAUGGGCGGAAGCCUGAUCCAGCAACGCCGCGUGAGGGAUGACGGCCUUCGGGUUGUAAACCUCUUUCAGUACCGACGAAGCGCAAGUGACGGUAGGUACAGAAGAAGUACCGGCCAACUACGUGCCAGCAGCCGCGGUAAUACGUAGGGUGCGAGCGUUGUCCGGAAUUAUUGGGCGUAAAGGGCUCGUAGGCGGUUUGUCGCGUCGGGAGUGAAAACACCGUGCUUAACACGGUGCUUGCUUUCGAUACGGGCAGACUAGAGGCAUGCAGGGGAGAACGGAAUUCCUGGUGUAGCGGUGAAAUGCGCAGAUAUCAGGAGGAACACCGGUGGCGAAGGCGGUUCUCUGGGCAUGUCCUGACGCUGAGGAGCGAAAGUGUGGGGAGCGAACAGGAUUAGAUACCCUGGUAGUCCACACCGUAAACGUUGGGCGCUAGGUGUGGGAUCCAUUCCACGGGUUCCGUGCCGCAGCUAACGCAUUAAGCGCCCCGCCUGGGGAGUACGGCCGCAAGGCUAAACUCAAGGAAUUGACGG
rnacentral:rRNA from 1 species